UAUUGGGCGUAAAGAGCUCGUAGGCGGUUUGUCGCGUCUGCCGUGAAAGUCCGGGGCUCAACUCCGGAUCUGCGGUGGGUACGGGCAGUCUAGAGUGAUGUAGGGGAGACUGGAAUUCCUGGUGUAGCGGUGAAAUGCGCAGAUAUCAGGAGGAACACCGAUGGCGAAGGCAGGUCUCUGGGCAUUAACUGACGCUGAGGAGCGAAAGCAUGGGGAGCGAACAGGAUUAGAUACCCUGGUAGUCCAUGCCGUAAACGUUGGGCACUAGGUGUGGGGGACAUUCCACGUUUUCCGCGCCGUAGCUAACGCAUUAAGUGCCCCGCCUGGGGAGUACGGCCGCAAGGCUAAAACUCAAAGGAAUUGACGGGGGCCCGCACAAGCGGCGGAGCAUGCGGAUUAAUUCGAUGCAACGCGAAGAACCUUACCAAGGCUUGACAUGGGCCGGACCGGGCUGGAAACAGUCCUUCCCCUUUGGGGCCGGUUCACAGGUGGUGCAUGGUUGUCGUCAGCUCGUGUCGUGAGAUGUUGGGUUAAGUCCCGCAACGAGCGCAACCCUCGUUCCAUGUUGCCAGCGCGUAAUGGCGGGGACUCAUGGGAGACUGCCGGGGUCAACUCGGAGGAAGGUGGGGACGACGUCAAAUCAUCAUGCCCCUUAUGUCUUGGGCUUCACGCAUGCUACAAUGGCCGGUACAAAGGGUUGCGAUACUGUGAGGUGGAGCUAAUCCCAAAAAGCCGGUCUCAGUUCGGAUUGGGGUCUGCAACUCGACCCCAUGAAGUCGGAGUCGCUAGUAAUCGCAGAUCAGCAACGCUGCGGUGAAUACGUUCCCGGGCCUUGUACACACCGCCCGUCAAGUCACGAAAGUUGGUAACACCCGAAGCCGGUGGCCUAACCCCUUGUGGGAGGGA
rnacentral:rRNA from 1 species